rnacentral:rRNA from 1 species
CCUACGGGUGGCAGCAGUGAGGAAUAUUGGUCAAUGGACGAGAGUCUGAACCAGCCAAGUAGCGUGAAGGAUGACUGCCCUAUGGGUUGUAAACUUCUUUUAUAUGGGAAUAAAAUGUUCCACGUGUGGGUUUUUGUAUGUACCAUAUGAAUAAGGAUCGGCUAACUCCGUGCCAGCAGCCGCGGUAAUACGGAGGAUCCGAGCGUUAUCCGGAUUUAUUGGGUUUAAAGGGAGCGUAGGUGGAUUGUUAAGUCAGUUGUGAAAGUUUGCGGCUCAACCGUAAAAUUGCAAUUGAGACUGGCAGUCUUGAGUACAGUAGAGGUGGGCGGAAUUCGUGGUGGAGCGGUGAAAUGCUUAGAUAUCACGAAGAACUCCGAUUGCGAAGGCAGCUCACUAAACUGCAACUGACACUGAUGCUCGAAAGUGUGGGUAUCAAACAGGAUUAGAUACCCCAGUAGUC